GCCCGGUUGGCACAGCGGUAAUGCGCCUCACUAGUAUGUUUCUAUAACACUACUGGGGAAGCAAAUGAGGAGAUGACUGGUUCGACUCCAGUACUGGGCA